CAUGCAAGUCGAGGGGAAACGGCAUUUAGUGCUUGCACCGAAUGGACGUCGACCGGCGCACGGGUGAGUAACGCGUAUCCAACCUUCCCAUAACUAAGGGAUAACCUGCCGAAAGGCAGACUAAUACCUUAUGUAAUCCUUUGAUGGCAUCAAAUAAGGAUAAAAGAUUUAUCGGUUAUGGAUGGGGAUGCGUCUGAUUAGCUUGUUGGCGGGGUAACGGCCCACCAAGGCAACGAUCAGUAGGGGUUCUGAGAGGAAGGUCCCCCACAUUGGAACUGAGACACGGUCCAAACUCCUACGGGAGGCAGCAGUGAGGAAUAUUGGUCAAUGGACGGAAGUCUGAACCAGCCAAGUAGCGUGCAGGAUGACGGCCCUAUGGGUUGUAAACUGCUUUUGUAUGGGGAUAAAGUCAAUCACGUGUGAUUGUUUGCAGGUACCAUACGAAUAAGGACCGGCUAAUUCCGUGCCAGCAGCCGCGGUAAUACGGAAGGUUCGGGCGUUAUCCGGAUUUAUUGGGUUUAAAGGGAGCGUAGGCCGGAGAUUAAGUGUGUUGUGAAAUGUAGACGCUCAACGUCUGACUUGCAGCGCAUACUGGUUUCCUUGAGUACGCACAACGUUGGCGGAAUUCGUCGUGUAGCGGUGAAAUGCUUAGAUAUGACGAAGAACUCCGAUUGCGAAGGCAGCUGACGGGAGCGCAACUGACGCUGAAGCUCGAAGGUGCGGGUAUCGAACAGGAUUAGAUACCCUGGUAGUCCGCACAGUAAACGAUGGAUGCCCGCUGUUGGUACCUGGUAUCAGCGGCUAAGCGAAAGCAUUAAGCAUCCCACCUGGGGAGUACGCCGGCAACGGUGAAACUCAAAGGAAUUGACGGGGGCCCGCACAAGCGGAGGAACAUGUG
rnacentral:rRNA from 1 species